AUGAACGCUGGCGGCGUGCCUAACACAUGCAAGUCGAACGGAGUCCAGCCUUUAAGACCUUCGGGUCAAAGAGGGGAAGACUGAGUGGCGGACGGGUGAGUAACACGUGGGCAACCUGGCUCAUAGAGGGGGAUAACAGAGAGAAAUUUCUGCUAAUACCGCAUAAGCACACACUGCCGCAUGGCAGAGGGUGAAAAGAGAAUCGCUAUGAGAUGGACCCGCGUCUGAUUAGCCAGUUGGCAGGGUAAGAGCCUACCAAAGCGACGAUCAGUAGCCGAUCUGAGAGGAUGAACGGCCACAUUGGGACUGAGACACGGCCCAAACUCCUACGGGAGGCAGCAGUGGGGGAUAUUGCACAAUGGGGGGAACCCUGAUGCAGCGACGCCGCGUGAGUGAAGAAGUAUUUCGGUAUGUAAAGCUCUAUCAGCAGGGAAGAUAAUGACAGUACCUGAAUAAGAAGCCCCGGCUAACUACGU
rnacentral:rRNA from 1 species